rnacentral:rRNA from 1 species
UACGUAGGGUGCGAGCGUUGUCCGGAUUUAUUGGGCGUAAAGAGCUCGUAGGCGGUUUGUCGCGUCGGCCGUGAAAUCUCCACGCUUAACGUGGAGCGUGCGGUCGAUACGGGCAGACUUGAGUUCGGUAGGGGAGACUGGAAUUCCUGGUGUAGCGGUGAAAUGCGCAGAUAUCAGGAGGAACACCGAUGGCGAAGGCAGAUCUCUGGGCCGUAACUGACGCUGAGGAGCGAAAGCGUGGGGAGCGAACAGG